GGGACAACCUGCUAGACAGGUUGAAGACAUCUGUAUCUACCUCAAAGAAGGCAUGGAGAGACACAUUAAAGAAUAUGUGAAUUGUGAAAUUGGUGAGUUGGGAAUUGCACAGACAGUGGAAGUUUUGGAAAACCUACUUGGUGUCACACAUGGGUGUGAAAUUACUUUUUGGACUCAUUUAUGCACUUAAACUGAACUACCAGAAGAACCUCAGGUGCACCUUUGACCUUUCAAAAAAUCCUAAUGGAACUGGACUUGAUACAACCAAGCAAUCACUGAAAGAUGCUUCAGUGAAUACCUGACAGACACGCUGAUGCAUCCCCCUCAAAGUGGGUACAUUUUUGUACAUUUACAAGUGAACUUUUUAACAUUAAAGGAAUAUUGCACUUUCAUUAAACAAAAAUACUGAUAAUUAACUGUCUGUCAUCCAAGAUGCUUGUCUUUUUUGUUCAGUCGGGAAGAAAUUAUGUUUUUUGAGAAAAACAUUCCAGGAUUUUUCUUAAUUUAAUAGACCUUAUUGGACCUCAACAGUUAUGUUUCAAAGCAGCUUUAAAGGGCUCUAAACGAUCCCAACCGAGGCAUAAGGGUUUUAUCUAUCCAAAAGAUUAUCAUUUUUGGCAAGAAAACUUUUAAAACACAACAACUUGUCUUGCAUUAUCCAUGUGACACACAGUGCGACAUUGUGUACUACGUAAUAAAUGUUUACACAUCACAAAUGUGAAACGCACAUUUGUUGACCAUUUUAAAUAAUAAACGGACCCAAAGACAUUAAUUAGUAUCAUUUCACAUUCAACAACAUCUGAACGCUCCUGUUUCUCCUCGCUUGUAAACACUGGAACGGUAGUUUCAGUUAUGUCAUGCUAGUGUGUCACACAGCUAGUGCAAAACGUUGUGAUUUAAAAGUCCUCUUUUAUUUUUAUUUUUGAAAAUGACAAUCGU